GAGCGACAAGGGACAAGUGCGGCCCGGAGGCGACCUGUGCGCGAGGAGGCGCUGUGGAGGCUGAGGCCCAGCCCCUCGGAGGAAAGCCGAGAUAGGACGUUUCCUUGCGGGCUGAGCCGUGACUUGUCCCCUGGAGCAACACAUAGAAGAAGUGGCCUUGCAUCCUGCUCCGCCUCCCGAGCCGGGUCCUCGGUUCCCGGAAGCCCUGGGCUGCCCGGCUGGAGUUACCUUCUGUGCGUUCUCUCCUAAACCUACACGCUAUUCACGACUUUGUUGAUGACUAUGGAAAAAGACAAACCAAACCAAAGUCCCCCCGCCUGGCGAUGGUGCAAGGCUGUCUACCUGCUGGAGGAUGGGCUGGGAUCACAGGCGUGUGCCGGCUUGUCUACCUACCUCCAGCUCGACGGCUAAAAGACCUUCUCUUUUACAUCAAGAAAUUAAAAAAAAAAAAAAAUCCAUGGGCAUAUGUGCAUGUGUAGAGGCGAGAAGCCCUCGGAGCUGGGGUUACAGGAGGCUCUGAGUGGCCCGCUGUGUGCAGAGGCCGGAACCCGGAUGCACAGGAAGAGCAGGAAGUGCUCUCAACCCCUGGCUCAUCCCCUCAGCCCAGUCAAUUCAUUUUUUUUAAGCAAGUGCUGUGGGCUGCCCCCCAGAGCCUCUGCUCCUGUGUUUUCUCACCUUCAAGGUCAACAAGAACCACUCCUCAUCCCUUCCCAAGGGCCAAAGCCUCCUGUGCAGCCUCUGCGACCUCGACCUGGCUUUGCCUUGGGGCCAAGAGAGGGCUUCUCAUCUUAUGCCAGCAGGGGUCAUGAUAGGCCAAGGCCACAGGGAAUGGGGACACAGCUGGAGACUGGUACCUGGUCCCCUCUUACCUGCAGCACGGAGAGGUUGGUCUGUCCAGAG
rnacentral:lncRNA from 1 species